ensembl:snRNA RNU6-1242P RNA, U6 small nuclear 1242, pseudogene
CAGUGUAAGACACCAUCUCAAAAAAAAAAAAAAAAUACAGAAAAGAUUAGUAUGGCCCCUGUCCAAGGAUGACACAGAAAUUUGUGAAGUAUUCCAUAGUUUU